rnacentral:rRNA from 1 species
CCGCGGUAAUACGGAGGGAGCUAGCGUUGUUCGGAAUUACUGGGCGUAAAGCGCACGUAGGCGGCUUUUCAAGUCGGGGGUGAAAUCCCGGGGCUCAACCCCGGAACUGCCCUCGAAACUGGAUGGCUAGAAUCCUGGAGAGGCGAGUGGAAUUCCGAGUGUAGAGGUGAAAUUCGUAGAUAUUCGGAAGAACACCAGUGGCGAAGGCGACUCGCUGGCCCGAUACUGACGCUGAGGCGCGAAAGCGUGGGGAGCAAACAGG